GCCUGGGUGGCUCAGUCGGUUGAGUGUCCGACUUCAGCUCAGGUCACGAUCUCGUGGUUCGUGAGUUUGAGCCCCACACCGGGCU
rnacentral:tRNA from 1 species